rnacentral:piRNA from 1 species
UCAUUAUGCGUGAGAAGUCUGGUAUAC